CCGGCGACCGGCGGACGGGUGCGUAACGCGUAUGUAACCUACCUUUGACAGGGGGAUAACAUCGAGAAAUUGGUACUAAUACCCCAUAACAUCACCGGAGGCAUCUUCGGUGGUUGAAAACUCAGGUGGUCAGAGAUGGACAUGCGUCGUAUUAGCUAGUUGGUGAGGUAACGGCUCACCAAGGCGACGAUACAUAGGGGGACUGAGAGGUCAACCCCCCACAUUGGUACUGAGACACGGACCAAACUCCUACGGAAGGCAGCAG
rnacentral:rRNA from 1 species